UUUAUUUUUGUUUUAUUUUUGUUUGUUUUUUUUCUUUUUUUGUUUUUUUUUGUUUUUUCUUUCUCUCUCUUGUUUGAAAACGAGA
rnacentral:ribozyme from 13 species